rnacentral:rRNA from 1 species
UUUUUGUUUGGAGAGUUUGAUUCUGGCUCAGGACGAACGCUGGCGGCGUGCUUAACACAUGCAAGUCGAACGGUAAGGCCCUUCGGGGUACACGAGUGGCGAACGGGUGAGUAACACGUGGGUAAUCUGCCCUGCACAUCGGGAUAAGCCUGGGAAACUGGGUCUAAUACCGAAUAGGACCACAGAACACAUGUCCUGUGGUGGAAAGCUUUUGCGGUGUGGGAUGGGCCCGCGGCCUAUCAGCUUGUUGGUGGGGUGAUGGCCCACCAAGGCGACGACGGGUAGCCGGCCUGAGAGGGUGUCCGGCCACACUGGGACUGAGAUACGGCCCAGACUCCUACGGGAGGCAGCAGUGGGGAAUAUUGCACAAUGGGCGAAAGCCUGAUGCAGCGACGCCGCGUGGGGGAUGACGGCCUUCGGGUUGUAAACCUCUUUCACCAUCGACGAAGGUUCGGGUUUUCUCGGAUUGACGGUAGGUGGAGAAGAAGCACCGGCCAACUACGUGCCAGCAGCCGCGGUAAUACGUAGGGUGCGAGCGUUGUCCGGAAUUACUGGGCGUAAAGAGCUCGUAGGUGGUUUGUCGCGUUGUUCGUGAAAUCUCACGGCUUAACUGUGAGCGUGCGGGCGAUACGGGCAGACUUGAGUACUGCAGGGGAGACUGGAAUUCCUGGUGUAGCGGUGGAAUGCGCAGAUAUCAGGAGGAACACCGGUGGCGAAGGCGGGUCUCUGGGCAGUAACUGACGCUGAGGAGCGAAAGCGUGGGGAGCGAACAGGAUUAGAUACCCUGGUAGUCCACGCCGUAAACGGUGGGUACUAGGUGUGGGUUUCCUUCCUUGGGAUCCGUGCCGUAGCUAACGCAUUAAGUACCCCGCCUGGGGAGUACGGCCGCAAGGCUAAAACUCAAAGAAAUUGACGGGGGCCCGCACAAGCGGCGGAGCAUGUGGAUUAAUUCGAUGCAACGCGAAGAACCUUACCUGGGUUUGACAUGCACAGGACGCCGGCAGAGAUGUCGGUUCCCUUGUGGCCUGUGUGCAGGUGGUGCAUGGCUGUCGUCAGCUCGUGUCGUGAGAUGUUGGGUUAAGUCCCGCAACGAGCGCAACCCUUGUCUCAUGUUGCCAGCGGGUAAUGCCGGGGACUCGUGAGAGACUGCCGGGGUCAACUCGGAGGAAGGUGGGGAUGACGUCAAGUCAUCAUGCCCCUUAUGUCCAGGGCUUCACACAUGCUACAAUGGCCGGUACAAAGGGCUGCGAUGCCGCGAGGUUAAGCGAAUCCUUUUAAAGCCGGUCUCAGUUCGGAUCGGGGUCUGCAACUCGACCCCGUGAAGUCGGAGUCGCUAGUAAUCGCAGAUCAGCAACGCUGCGGUGAAUACGUUCCCGGGCCUUGUACACACCGCCCGUCACGUCAUGAAAGUCGGUAACACCCGAAGCCAGUGGCCUAACCCUUUGGGAGGGAGCUGUCGAAGGUGGGAUCGGCGAUUGGGACGAAGUCGUAACAAGGUAGCCGUACCGGAAGGUGCGGCUGGAUCACCUCCUUUCUAAGGAG